rnacentral:rRNA from 1 species
AUUGAACGCUGGCGGCAGGCCUAACACAUGCAAGUCGAGCGGAUGACGGGAGCUUGCUCCUUGAUUCAGCGGCGGACGGGUGAGUAAUGCCUAGGAAUCUGCCUGGUAGUGGGGGACAACGUUUCGAAAGGAACGCUAAUACCGCAUACGUCCUACGGGAGAAAGCAGGGGACCUUCGGGCCUUGCGCUAUCAGAUGAGCCUAGGUCGGAUUAGCUAGUAGGUGAGAUAACGGCUCACCUAGGCGACGAUCCGUAACUGGUCUGAGAGGAUGAUCAGUCACACUGGAACUGAGACACGGUCCAGACUCCUAUGGGAGGCAGCAGUGGGGAAUAUUGGACAAUGGGCGAAAGCCUGAUCCAGCCAUGCCGCGUGUGUGAAGAAGGUCUUCGGAUUGUAAAGCACUUUAAGUUGGGAGGAAGGGCAGUAAGCUAAUACCUUGCUGUUUUGACGUUACCGACAGAAUAAGCACCGGCUAACUCUGUGCCAGCCGCCGCAGUAAAAC